GAGGAAAGGUAUCGGUGGUUGUUUAUAGCAGCAACGAUGUGAAGCGAGAUUUAAAGUUAAAACGAAAAUUUAAAAAUUCUUUCCAAAUACAUAAAAGAAAUCUGUUUAAAUUCUCAAAAACUAAUUACUUUUCCAUAUAACUGACAUUUCGAAGCUAGUGUAAACAUUAUGCACAUAGUAUCCUUUUACGGGCCUCCGGAUUUUUUCCGUUUGUUAUCGAAGUUUGCUGCUCAGACCAGAGAGGCUGCCGUCCGAGACUAUUCUACACUGUCUUGUCAAAAACCUCGGACUAACAGAACCCAAUUACAUCUUCCAGCUGCCCUUUAUAUAGCUGGAGAGAUACAGUUGCCUAGGUAACAGAAACAAUAGUCAUGGACCUAUACCGACAUCGAAAAUAAAAAUGAAAAGAGAUGGGGGUUUGGUAGCCGCUCUAACUAAGAGAACAGAUGCUGUCAAUUUUAGUUCAUGGAUGUUAUGCGACUUACACUAUAGCCGCUGUUAACAUAGUUAACAGACGAUAUGAGCGUGACCAUAAGGUUACAGUGAAAUCAGGAAUACGCUGCACGCACAAAAAACAAGAAUGGGAUCCCAAUUCUCUGUCUUCACUUCAUACUCCGUUAACGAUUUCAAACAACUUAUAUUCUUUAAGCCCCUGCACAGCAGCAAGACUUUUACUUGAAUAGUUACCUUGUUUAUAAGAAUCAGAGGGUUUAAAUCCAAGCAAAAACAUGGUAUGACUUGUACCUACUCAAAAACAUUUAUUUCCUACUACAUAUCGCCUACAUUACUUAGAAGAAGUCUUAUAAUGACUUACGAAUAAUAUAUUACGUAACUACUUACUUUUCAGCAUUGACACAAUAAAACUGCUUGCAUAACUCCCCAUACAAGCGAUCCUAGUA